GUCUACGGUCAUGCUACCCUGCACAAGCCCGAUCCCGUCUAAUCUCGGAAGCUAAGCAGGGUCGGGCCUGGUUAGUACUUGGAUGGGAGACCACCUAGGAAAACCGGGUGCUGCAGGCA
rnacentral:rRNA from 1 species